rnacentral:rRNA from 1 species
CCCUUAGAUGUUCUGGGCCGCACGCGCGCUACAAUGAUGCAGGCAACGAGUGCCGCUCCUUAGCCGAAAGGCUUGGGGAAUCUUGAAAACUGCAUCGUGCUAGGGAUAGAUGAUUGCAAUCGUACAUCUUGAACGAGGAAUGCCUUGUAAGCGUGAGUCAUCAACUCGCGCUGAAUACGUCCCUGCCCUUUGUACACACCGCCCGUCGCUCCUACCGAUUGGAUGGUCCGGUGAACUGGUCGGACUGCUGUUUGAAAUUGCGGGUGCAGUUGAUUCACGGGAAGUCUAGUAAACCUUAUCAUCUAGAGGAAGGAGAAGUCGUAACA